AGAGUUUGAUCCUGGCUCAGAGUGAACGCUGGCGGCGUGCCUAACACAUGCAAGUCGAACGAUGAUGGAGGAGCUUGCUCUUCCUGAUUAGUGGCGCACGGGUGAGUAACGCAUAGGUAAUGUGCCCCUUAGUUCGGGAUAGCCACUGGAAACGGUGAUUAAUACCGGAUACUCCUUCUCAUUAUAAGAUGAGUCGGGAAAGUUUUUCGCUAAGGGAUCAGCCUAUGUCCUAUCAGCUAGUUGGUGAGGUAAUGGCUCACCAAGGCAAUGACGGGUAUCUGGUUUGAGAGGAUGAUCAGACACACUGGAACUGAGACACGGUCCAGACUCCUACGGGAGGCAGCAGUGAGGAAUAUUGCACAAUGGAGGAAACUCUGAUGCAGCAACGCCGCGUGGAGGAUGACGCAUUUCGGUGUGUAAACUCCUUUUAAGAGGAAGAUUAUGACGGUUCCUCUUGAAUACCACCGGCUAA
rnacentral:rRNA from 1 species